CCACGCUCCCAACCCCCCACUCUCCCCAUUAUUGUAGGUCAAUUAUUGUCACCUACCCAUAAAACUAUCGUCCCAUAUCCACAAUCCGAAUCUCCUAAUCAAAGCACAAAACCUCAAUUUUCUCAAUUUCAUCUCCUUGUCGCAAUCGUGCUUUGUCUCGAGUAAAAUUAGUGUUGACCAUAGGAAACAGACAAAGACCACUGCAACGAUUUACGCGAGUUUAUUUCUGAAAUUGGACCUCUUUUCGGACAUGAAAGAGGCACAAUCAUUAUUAAAUUAUUUAAAUUCCCAACAGCCACCUGAUUGCUAAAGAAAUUGACCUGCUACCAAACACUUUAGUUCGAUUUCAUGAAUGAUAUAAGACAUGCUGGGUAAUGAAUUUUAUGUUGGUACUUCCCUGAAUAAAGCUACGCGGUUUCCAACAAUGUUACUGAUGUUUCUCAAUUUCCCAUGGGUGAUUCACCUGAGAGCGUUGACUACUUUACCGUCCCUGUUCAGAACUCACGGGUGGAUGCAACUCUUUCAAGAGAGUGCAAACUUUUGGAACCUCAAUAAAGAAUAGGUAUAUACAUAUAUGUAUAGAUUAUCAUAAUUCACUACUUAAGAAGUAAGAACUAUAACCAUGUCACUUCAUGUAAGUUUUUGACAGCUCACCAUGGCGGCCACCAACCCCCUGAUUACUAUAUAAGAGGCACUCACAUACAGAUUUGAUUGAGGUGAAGUGAGAUGGUAUUAUUGUUUCUUUGCUUUAUGGACAUAAAGUUGUUUUUAUGGUAUAUAUGAUCAUGAUCCUAAAUAUUUCAAAUUUGUCAGUUAAUCUCAAUCUUCCAUUUCAUUGUUGCGAAUUUUGAAUUUAGGUUUGUAUUAACAGAUUUAUGCAGUUGGAAGAAUUAAUUGUUUUAGAGUUCAUUGUAUAUGGAGAAAAGUAAGAAAAGAAGUUACUUCAAGUGAGCCAACAUGAAAUCUUGCAAGAAUCAACUCGUGUGAUAGGGCAACGAAUGAAUAAGGGCACUUGCAUAUAAAGGAUUCUUGCCAGCUGUAUGCACAUUCCCAAUUUCAGAGCUAUGGAGUGUUUGUGGAAAAUGUCUUUCAAGUGGAAGCGAGUGCGUCCCCUUAUUACAAUGAAAUCAAAUAGCUCUCAAAUAAAGUUCUUACGAUGAAGAAAUUGUGGCUUUUUUGCCAUGUGCUUUGUUAGUGACAUCACAGAUGCUUUAAAUAGAACUUACGAACAUCUCAAUAAUUCGCUAAAAAACAAUGUGACUGAUGGAUACAAUAUUGAGUUUUAGUGAUGGAUACAGUAGCUAAUUAUGCGUAUAUUGUUUUUGCAGCCAUGUGAAUAUAUUAAAACUGUUUUUGUGCCAAAAAAGGGUCAUAUUCAUGUA